CAGUAGCCGCGGGAAUACGUAGGUGGCAGGCGUUGUCCGGAAUUAUUGGGCGUAAAGGGCUCGCAGGCGGUUUCUUAAGUCUGAUGUGAAAGCCCCCGGCUCAACCGGGGAGGGUCAUUGGAAACUGGGAAACUUGAGUGCAGAAGAGGAGAGUGGAAUUCCACGUGUAGCGGUGAAAUGCGUAGAGAUGUGGAGGAACACCAGUGGCGAAGGCGACUCUCUGGUCUGUAACCGACGCUGAGGAGCGAAAGCGUGGGGAGCGAACAGGAUUAGAUACCCGCGUAGUCCCUGUCUCUUAUAC
rnacentral:rRNA from 1 species